rnacentral:rRNA from 1 species
CAGCAGGCGCGAAACCUUUGCAAUACACGAAAGUGUGACAGGGCUAUCCCGAGUGCCAUCCGCUGAGGAAGGCUUUUACCCAGUCUAGAACGCUGGGGGAAUAAGGAGAGGGCAAGUCUGGUGUCAGCCGCCGCGGUAAUACCAGCUCUCCGAGUGGUGUGGAUGUUUAUUGGGCCUAAAGCAUCCGUAGCUGGCUAGGUAAGUCCCUUGUUAAAUCCACCGAAUUAAUCGUUGGAUCGCGGGGGAUACUACUUGGCUAGGGGACGAGAGAGGCAGACGGUAUUUUCGGGGUAGGGGUGAAAUCCUAUAAUCCCGGGAAGACCACCAGUGACGAAGGCUGUCUGCUAGAACGCGCCCGACGGUGAGGGAUGAAAGCUGGGGGAGCGAACCGGAUUAGAUACCCGGGUAGUCCCAGCUGUAAACGAUGCAGACUAGGUGUUUGGACGGCCACGUGCCGUUCUAGUGCCGCAGGGAAGCUGUUAAGUCUGCCGCCUGGGGAGUACGAUCGCAAGAUUGAAACUUAAAGGAAUUGGCGGGGGAGCAC